AUUGAACGCUGGCGGCAGGCCUAACACAUGCAAGUCGAACGAGUGGCGGACGGGUGAGUAAUGUCUGGGAAACUGCCUGAUGGAGGGGGAUAACUACUGGAAACGGUAGCUAAUACCGCAUACCAUCGGAUGUGCCCAGAUUGGCUUAGCUAGUAGGUGGGGUAACGGCUCACCUAGUCGACGAUCCCUAGCUGGUCUGAGAGGAUGACGAGGCACACUGGAACGGAGACACGUACCCGCAUCCGACGGGAGGCAGCAGUGGGGAAUAUAGCACAAUGGGCGCAAGCCUGAUGCGGCCAUGCCGCGUGUAUGAAGAGGGCCUUCGGGUUGUAAAGUACUUUCAGCGGGGAGGCGUUACCCGCAGAAGAAGCACCGGCUAACUCCGUGCCAGCAGCCGCGGUAAUAC
rnacentral:rRNA from 1 species